rnacentral:lncRNA from 10 species
GCUCUGCUCUCCCAGGCACUACUGAGCGCGCUCGCGGUCGCCAGGAGCGGAUUGGGCCCCCGCCGCGCGCAAGCCUUGGUGACAGGGGAUGGCGCGGAGCUGCCUCUCCGGGAAAGUUGGAUCUGUGCGCCCAGACAUGGAAAAGGGAUUAGGACACCGGCAGAUCUUGCCCUCACAGAGCGGAGGUGGGGGCCUUGGAAGGGGCACACCGCCCGUAGGCGCGAAAUCCAAGAAGAAAAUGACACUCAUCAGCCAGCCUCGCGCGGGGAGAAAGGGCGGGGUGGGGGGUAGUGGCACCCUGCCCGUCCUCUCCCACCCCCACAGUCCGGGCCCACAGUCCAGGAGUCACAAGGGAUGUGAAUCCCCAGGCAUAAUGUGAACCCCCAACAAACCCAAGGCCUCAGAAUGCGCCUCACCUCUCCCUCCCCACCAGCAGAAACAUCCUCCCACUCUCCCAACCCCUGCUCCAGCCACGCCAACCCUUUAACCUUGUCCCAGAAUGUCUAAACUGUAUCUGCCUCUGUGCCUGUGCACAUGAAGUUGCCUUGGCCCGGCGUUUGCUCCACAGCCUUCUGCCAAACUCCUACUGCUUGAUGGCUGGAAGCCUUCGCACCCUGGCGCUCUCCUCCCAGGUCAGCAGUCACUGGCCUUCCUGUGCAUCCAGCCCAGCUUUGAACAGUCCUGGGCCCCAACCCUUAUCUUUUUCCGAGUAAUUACAUGGUUGCAUGAUUGGCUUCACCGCCUCUGGAUCAGAUGAGCGCUACUAAUGAAGGAUACAAGUUGUAAAACUAGGUUUUAUGUGAACUCCAGUCAUCACAGUUUAGGUGCGGCUAGCGAUUUUACAGAUGCGGGGUUAGUAACUGGCCCAAAUCCAGGGCUUCCGGGAUGCUGUUUUCCUUUUUUGUUUCUUAGCAGGGAUGGCAGAUGUUUGUAGAACAGAUCCGUGUAAAAGUCAGUAUCCUAAGAGAUUAAAUUGUAAAGCAGGACAAGAUA